UACGUAGGGUGCGAGCGUUUGUCCGGAAUUAUUGGGCGUAAAGAGCUCGUAGGCGGUGUGUCACGUCGGCCGUGAAAACCUGCAGCUUAACUGUGGGCGUGCGGUCGAUACGGGCAUCACUGGAGUUCGGCAGGGGAGACUGGAAUUCCUGGUGUAGCGGUGAAAUGCGCAGAUAGUCGAGGAGGAACACCGGUGGCGAAGGCGGGUCUCCUGGGCCGAUACUGACGCUGAGGAGCGAAAGCAUGGGGAGCGAACAGG
rnacentral:rRNA from 1 species